AAAAGGAGCAUAUAUAUAUAUGCAGCUGAUAAAAUAUAGACCGGUUUAUGGUUUGCAGAGAUCUACCCCAAAAAUUGUGGAAUGUAUGGUACCAAAUAUAUUGCUUGUCAAAGGCCGUGUCAUGAAUAUGGCAAGGAACAAUUUUACAGAAAUUAUCGACAAGAAGCUCGCGAGGAUUAAGAUAAUCACGGUUCUAUUACGUCAGCACAAAAGAACGAAAAGUCGCGACAAUGACGCACGUUCUACUGGCCGGGAAUUUACCCAAUGCAAACAAAAACCAGAUUUAACAAACGACUCUUUCGAUGUGCAAACAAGUUUCGAGUACACGCCUGUCAAGCCUGCUCAAUCAUUCCUUUCGCAUUCGCGCAAAAUCACAUGGCCUCGAGGGCAUGAAGAGUAAACGAAAGGGAAUCCCGUCUGACGUCAUGACACUUCCCAUUUGAUCAGGCCAACAUGGCGCAGACCAGAAACUCGUGCUGCGAAGCAGAUAAAUGACUCUGUUGUGUACUCUUAAGUCUUUUGCUUGUCUGGCCUUUUGCGUGGAGAGUAGCUUUAAUUUGCUACUAGAAUAAAAAUUCUUGGCUGACAACCUCCAGUUUUGCUGCAGAUGUACCAUUAUGCCUCCGUAUCGCAAAGCUGUAGCAGACGAGAGUUAAACUGCAGCAGAUAUGCUAAGCUUCAUAUAAACCAUAGUCCGUCUCUUUCUACUUGGUUAAUGAAAAACGUGCUCGUGUAGACCAAGUUGAGUGGAUGUGAUAGAACUCGACGUGCAGUUUGAUUCCUGCGAAGAGGCAUGCUAAGUACCAUAAAUAUUAUCUUCCUGAAAAGAACUGUGGGCUUUUCCCCCUCGUUAGAUCAGAUAAUCCAUUUAUGUGAAACGAAUUGGUGCGUGCGAGGAUGGAAUACCUUUUAUGAAACAGUAACAGAACGGCUGUGACCGAAUCAACAUGUUUACUUUGAAAGUCGUAAAGGCAGAUACAUGUACUUAAAUAGGUGCAGUGGAGUGGAACGUGUGGAUACUCCGACCACUCGUCUCAAUCACGCGAAGGUUGAUCUCGUCGUAAAGGUUGUUCAUUUACCUCAUAGUAUUUAGGCGGUAUUUUGUUGAUGCAGAAAGUAGAUAAUUCAAAGUUCAAACCAGUCGGUUUCUUUAAAGUUGAAAUUGAAGUUACACCUCCCAAAUUCUGAUAAGAGCCAAGGUCAGGAGAACAUGGCUAGAAACAACAGUGAAGCCACAGUUGACCAGGGUAGCUACCUUCUGCAAGAUCAGGAUUAUGGAGGGGAAAUUUUAAGCAAGCUGAAUGCAUUCAGAAGUGAGUGUUUUUUUACAGACACUAUUUUGUGUGUUGGUCAUGAAGAGUUUCCUUGUCAUCGAAAUGUGCUUGCUGUCAGUAGCCCUUAUUUUCAAGCAAUGUUUACUAGUGACUUAAAAGAAAGCAGGGAAGUCCGAAUCUCUUUUAGUGAUGUAUCACCAUGGACUUUGAAACGUGUCAUAGAUUAUGCCUACAGUGGGCAGUUGGAGAUUACACAUGACAAUGCCCAGGAAAUGUUAGCAGCAGGCAAUCAUUUUGAGUAUCCUCGGAUAGUAGAUGCAUGUGCAGAAUUUUUAUGCCGUCAGCUGCAUCCUUCAAACUGUCUAGAGAUAGAGAACUUUGCAGCUUUGCACAACUGCACAAAAUUGCAGCAACGUGCAAAUGCAUUUGUGUUGGAGAAUUUUUUGCAGGUUGUUGAGCAUGAUGAGUUUUUGGAACUCCCUGUUGAUCGCCUCAAGUUGUACAUUAGUAGUGAUUUUAUUGAUGUCAGGAAUGAGGAGAGUGUGUAUGAGGCAGUCAUGAGGUGGAUUAGAUAUGACAUAGAUGAUCGUAAGGCUUUCCUGCCUGUUUUGAUGGAAGAGAUCAGGCUACCUAUGCUGGACAUGCAUAGUCUUAGCCUUAUUGAGCGAGAUCCACUUGUGGCAGCAUCAGCCGAGUGUUAUGCCAUGGUGGCCCAUGCACAGCAUUUUAAAGCUUCACAGGAGGGACAAGCUGGCAAGCGAAGAAAAAGCAUGCAAGACUCACAAGUUCAACCACGGCCAUCUACUGUGGCAAAAGAGGUGGUGGUUGUUAUUGGUGGGAUUCCAGUAGAUCGAUAUAUCACACAGACAGUAGAAAUGUUCGAUCUUCAAAAGGGCAAAUGGUUGACCCUGCCAGAUUUCCCCAAACCUGUGUCCUGGUUCUCUGCAUCUGUCCUUGAUGAUGCCAUCUAUGUGACUGGCGGCAUUCAUGAUGGUCACAUCAUCGCCAACACUUGGCGCUUUGAUGCAGUGAAGCACAAGUGGCAGGAAGCACAGCCCAUGCUGAAGCCACGUGCACGGCAUUCGUCAGCAGUACUAGAUGAUAAGUUAUAUGUCGUUGGUGGUGAGCGUUAUGAGCUCAUCAUGCUCAGUGUAGAGACAAUCGAAUGCUACAAUCCAGCAACAAAAACAUGGACUGCUGCUGGGCGCACAAUGUUUCCAAGGAAACAGUCUUGUUUGGUGCCAUACAACUCUACUAUAGUAGAAGUGGGAGGCCUUUUAGGGGAUGAUGCUAUUGCGGAUACCAUGAACAGCUACCAUAUUGUUGAGGGCAUGAUCAAACCAACUGGUGAGCAAUUCGUGUUGCCAAAGGCCAUCCAUUAUGCCCAGAUUGUGGUGAUUGGUGACAUUUUUUACAUUAUUUGGGAGGAUACCAAAGAGAUCAUUGCACUCAACGCUGCCAAAAGAACUUUCAAACGUCUUCCAGGUAUGAAAUAUGCUCGGAAGCAUAGUGGAGCUGUCAUGCUGAAUGACAAAAUUUAUGUGAUAGGUGGUUUAAUUGACACUAAACCUAGCAGUAUUGUUGAGUGUUUUGAUCCAGAAACAAACACCUGGACAGAAGAAAAAAGCUUGAUCGAAGGAAGAGCAAUACAUGGUUGUGUGAAGUUAAGGAUGUGUUGAGGGGAGAUAAAGCCACCAGUCCCUUACCCACUGCUUUUAUGAGAUUUGACAGAUGGGGGGAUUGGAUAUUGACCAUGAAAGCAGUACAUAAUGCAAACAGGGUCAUUAGCCACAAGUUAAUGUAUCCCCAGACCCCCUAUUCCCACUGUCUAAUUGUCAUGGUUUUCUUUUUUAAGGCUUUUGCUGCCACCUGCGAAGUCGAUUUCUUUUCUGCGUGUUUUGCAACUCAUAAAGAUGCUCUGGAAGUUCUAAGUGUUCUAAAAUCUUGCCGUUAAAAUCAGUUUUGAAUAAAAAGUACAUCAGAAAUUAGAAAAGUGAGCCUAUGUUAAAACAUGCAAGAUAACCAAGAUUGCUUAAAAUUUGUUCUUAAAUUUCAACUUGACUGAUUUUCUUUUUAAAUGCUGUGUUCCUAUAUUCUUUAAGGAGCUUUGUCAUUCCUCAGGACAAAUGAUAAAGUAGUAAUAUAUAAAUAAAAGUCAGAUAUUGUCACUGAAAGCUUUUAAAAAAGUGAGUUUCCUCGGAGAAGUAAAUGAAGCGUGAUGGUGGAUGUGACUUUAGGACACAUGAACUGCUAACGGUGCUAACUAAAAUGGAUAUAUGGGUGUAGUGUUAUCAUUUAAUAACAGUAAAGAUUUGAGCCAUGCUAACAUAGGUGUUGAUGACUUUUGUAUGUUUUUCUUUUUCACUGCAUUUGUGAAAUGGAGCUGACCAAACAGUAUUUAAUUUUUUUAUCGUAAACUCGUUAUUUUUUAUGCUCGCAGAGUAUUUUUUAUAGAGGGAGGGGUAGUGAUGUUAUUCUGAGAAGCAGAUGAUUGUUGUGGUAAUGCGCCUUCUUGCUACAUGUUGUGCUAGUAAAUGUUUGAAGUGCUUUAAUUCGAUUUAAAAUUGUGCUUACGUGGUAUGUGUUUUCUAAUGGUGAUAUUAUGUUUGCUCAUUUCUUCAUUUUGUUAAAACUGUUAUUUGAUAUUACUAUUUUUGCUUUAGUAAAAAGAAGCAUGUGUGAUCAUUUUAAACUUCUAGAAAAAAAUUUGUCAUGAACAAUAUAAAUUUGGCAUUUGCUGUUUGACAUAUAAAAGUAUGCUACCCACAUAGUGGUAACAUUUUUCAAAAGCCAUGGUAAAGAAAUUUAUUGCUUUAAGGUUUUUUAAUGAUUUAUUUGAAAUUUCUUUUGCUGCAAUUUUAAAAUCAAAUAUGUACCACUACUACUGUUAAUUUUCACCAAAAGACUUGACCACAGUAUUGCUUGGAUAUGAAACAAUCAAGAUUUAUGAUGUUAAUAACAAGUGUUGAAAACAAAAUAUAGUAAAUGAUUUUGCAGUGUUAAGACUUUGAAGAUGCAGUGGUGAAGUGGUAUGAAGUGCUAUUAUAUGCUUGUAUAGCUAGGAGUAAGUCUAGUUGGAACAAAAAAUUUGGAACAUUGUUUGCUACUGCAUGAACCAAAAUAACAACAGCAAAAAGUAAAGAACUUGCUUUCCUUUUG
rnacentral:misc_RNA from 1 species